AAUGCUCAACUAUCAAGUAAAAACAUCUGUAAGCCACCAUUAAGAUUGGUGAUAUUUUUUUUACAUAUUCAUUAUAUUUUCGCAUAUGAAGAUGUCAAGUAUUCAGUCGAUUGAAACACAAACCUGGGCAAGUUGCAAUCCUUAGGCUGCCAACGCCAUUUGGUAUAGAAAUUAUCAGGUCUACCAUUCUCAGAACAACAAAAACCUUCAUCCAAAAACAUACAAUCUUCUGAUAGAUAAAGUGGAUAACUCUCAUCCCACACCCAAUUCCCAUCAAAUAUAUCACAAUCAUUUUCAAAAAACCCCACUUUAUCAUCAUUUCUGCUUCUACUACUACUAUUUUUUAGUACUAAUGAAGAAUCAUUAAGACCGAACCAGAUAACAAAAAAAGAAUGCCCACGCAAGUGAGAACCAGUAGUAUCCACAGUUGUAUAAUCUAACAAGAAGAUAAAUAAGUAUAAGCCAAGAACAAAAAACAAGAACCCAAAAAGUGUUAACAAUGGCUCAAUAGGCUUCAAAGCUAGGCAAGUAGAUGAUAUAGUAUGAUACUAUGAUCCAAAAUCAUAAUUAACUUGAUAGUUCUAGAAGCCACUGUAGCACGCAGAAGAAUGUAGUUUACAAGAAGUGCCGAGGUAAAUCAAAGAGGUAUUGUUCUUUUACAUUUCAGUAACUUUGAGGUCUUCUUAUCAAAAGAAGGAUCAGAAUCACACACAGGAAAACCCUGAAACAACUUCAAGGUUACUGAACAGUCAAAGCUACCAUUAGAUCUAAGGGGUUGUUAGCUAGAUGGAUCAGGAUAAGAUAAAUUAAAUAUCAUCCCGUGUUGGUAGAUAUCCUUGGACAACUAAUCAAGAUGGAGGGACAGAAACAGUCUGGAAAUGAGGAAUACUUGCUGUUAUUUUCUGGUUCUUGCGGCUGUAAAACUUUGUAUCUUGAAGUAAGCUUUUCCAGGUCCCUCCUGCUGUAGAAUAAUUUUCCCAAAAAUUAGAUGCAUCUUACCUUUGUUUUUCCCCUUGAUGCAGUGCAUUCCUUGCUUUUCUAUUUUACUUACCAUCUCAGUGAAUUUAUUGAUUUUUCUUUUCAAGUUUUUUGCUGAUUUUGUAUCGAGUUAAAGAAUUUUGGCCAUGGGUUUUCACUCAUCUCUGUUUUUCACUACAGAAAAAAUUCAAUCUUUGGAAGCAUAAUAACACAAAUUUCAAAGAAAAUGACCCCCAAAACUCAAAUUUUUAAAUCAAUAAAGAAAAACUUGU
rnacentral:misc_RNA from 1 species